GGGGCGGGGCGGGGCGGCGGCGGCGGCGCGAGCAGCUGCGCGGGAUGCAGGGGGGCCAGGCCGCAGCUGCGAGGCCCGACUCAACUCUGCCUGUCCAGGGUCUGGAGUGGGAGCCGCCGGUGCAAGAGAGGGCAGGGCCCGCCGGGGUAGGUGAGCGUGGAGAGCAAGAGCCCGGCUCCGUCCCCGGUACCCCACUGCACCCCUCGCCGCUGCGGGAAGCUCCCUGGAGGAGGAGCUCGGGACGCGGAGGAGGAGCCAGGGCAGCCCCUGGGAGCGGGGACACGAUCCUCCGGGAUAAGAGGCAGAGAGCGAAAGGAACCCCGUCAGCCGGGCGUGCAGAAAGCUCCGGGAGCAGCCUCAUGGAAGAGAAGCAGAUCCUGUGCGUGGGGCUAGUGGUGUUGGACGUCAUCAAUGUGGUGGACAAGUACCCGGAGGAGGACACAGACACCAGGUGCUUGUCCCAGAGGUGGCAGCGUGGAGGCAACGCAUCCAACUCCUGCACUGUCCUCUCCCUGCUUGGAGCCCCCUGUGCCUUCAUGGGCUCUCUGGCCCCAGGCCACGUUGCCAACUUCCUGGUGGCUGACUUCAGGCAGCGGGGCGUGGACGUGUCUCAGGUGGCCUGGCAGAGCAGGGGGGAGACCCCGUGCUCUUGCUGCAUCGUCAACACCUCCAGUGGCUCCCGUACCAUUGUGCUCUAUGACACGAACCUGCCAGAUGUGUCUGCCAAAGACUUUGAGCAAGUUGAUCUGACCCGGUUCAAGUGGAUCCACAUUGAGGGCCGGAACGCAUCGGAGCAAGUGAAGAUGCUGCAGCGGAUAGAACAGCACAAUGCAGGGCAGCCUCCAGAACAGAAGAUCCGGGUGUCCGUGGAGGUGGAGAAGCCGCGAGAGGAACUGUACCAGCUGUUUGGCUACGGAGACGUGGUGUUUGUCAGCAAAGAUGUGGCCAAGCACUUGGGGUUCCGGUCAGCAGUGGAGGCCCUGAGGGGCCUGUACGGUCGAGUGAGGACAGGGGCUUCGCUCAUCUGUGCCUGGGCUGAGGAGGGCGCGGAUGCCCUGGGCCCUGACGGCCGGCUGCUGCACUCUGACGCUUUCCCGCCGCCCCGGGUUGUGGACACUCUGGGGGCAGGAGACACCUUCAACGCCUCGGUCAUCUUCAGCCUGUCCCAGGGGAAGAGCAUGCAGGAGGCGCUGACGUUUGGCUGCCAGGUGGCCGGCAAGAAGUGCGGUCUGCAGGGCUUCGAUGGCAUCGUGCCCCAAGGAGGCACCCGCCCAGACCAGAGCAGCAGGAAGUGCCCCAGGCUUGCCACCAGCUGUGCCCUUACUGGGGCCCAGCCCUCCCUGGUGAAGAGCAGCCACUGGGCCUGGUAGAGGCCAGACUUCCUGAGGUUGGGGGCAGAUACAGGAUGAUAAGGAAGAUCUGCUCUGAACAGGCCGCUGGUGGUCCGACACCAGUCCCUUUAGGUAGCUCUGCAGAAGUCUGGCAGGAAAGCAGAAAAUCAGCCCCCAAGGAGCCAGUCUGCAGGCCCAGGCCUGACCCUCAGGUCCCCAGCCCAGCCUACUCACCGAAGCUGCUCCUGGCCUGGCUGGAAGGGGUUGGGCAGAGGCAGAUGCUGCUCUUCAGGGACCAGCCUGGAGGAAGGAGGGAAGGACCAGCCUUGCAAAGAGCCUCCCUGAGGGCCCAGCCUGGCAACAGCCUUCUAUCCCCAAGCUCCUGGUACAGUUCCCUCCCCAGACCCAAAGCAAGCUGCUUCUCUGGAUUCCCAAAACUUUGUGGGGACGAGGCCCUUCUGGCUUCCUCAGAAGCAGAACAUUACUGCCAGACUCUGCUCUUGCAGAUUCCUAACUUAAAUGUUAUGUGAAAAUCUCAAUAAAACAUCCAGUUAGGAGGAGGUCACACCUCGAAGGUACAAGUUUAAGACCCAAGAAAACAGCACAGUGGGCAGCAGGACAACAUGGAUCGUGGCAACUUCUACUGGGAUGCUGGGAGCUCAGGGACAGGUCUCUGGCUGAGCCUAGUGGUACUGCCCAGUGUUACACAAACCCGAGUUGCUCCAUGACAUGAAAUGGACCCUUUUUUUUCCCCAAGUUGAGGGCAUAUAUAUUGGUUUUGGAGUUUCAAUCUGCUCUGUCAGUCUUUAAAGCUCAAGAUUUGCUCCCACUUCUGAACAGGGAUCCCUGUUUGCCCAAGUCUAUCCAGAUCUCUGACGCCAGAGAGCUGGCAGGAGCUGGUGCAGCACUUUUGUCACUGCUGCCAGCCCUGUUGCUGCUCUGUAUCUGUCCCCCGGCCCCACCCAGCUUUCCCACUGCAUUGCAUUAAUACACAAAACAACGAGAAAGUAUUCAAAUAAAAUAGAAAUGAUAUGCUAA